rnacentral:lncRNA from 1 species
AUGUGUGACCCGAUCUGGGUCCCCAGGAUCACACCCUGGGCGGAAGGCAGUGCUAAACCGCUGAGCCACUUGGGCUGCCCUCUCGGUUCUUUUUUUAAUGGCAUCUCAUUCACUGAUGAACAUUACCUUCUCAUUGCUGAAAAUAUUCUAAUACAUUUUACUCUCUUUUGCGUUGUGCCAGAAGUUCCCUUCUGCUGUUUGUUUUGCUCUCUGUCAGGUUGGAAGUAUUUGUGUAAAACCCCCUCUUCCUGGACAGGUCUGGAUUUAAGAACCAUUUGCAUCUGUGGGAGAGCCCUUAUGAUCAGGUUACAGAUUCAGCAUAUGUCAAAAUGAACAUGAGACCCUCCUGAACUCAUUCUAUUUUCAGAGAAGAAAACUAUACCCAAUUGUGUACUGGUGGAACCGGAAAAAUGCAUAAGUGGCAGAAGUCAAAGAAGCGACAGAUCUCUAAGCAUUAGAGAUUCACCUACUGGAACUGAAGAACAUGUUUUUUGGGGGGCCUUGCACUCCAAUGUGCUCUUGCAUGCAAAGUAUUGGGCUUUAAACAUUCAGGGGGGCUCUGCUUUACCUGUCUGAAUUAGACACAUAUGGCCCAGACAGAUAUGAUGGAUAUGCCAUUAUAAAAAUAUGCUUACUUGCAUAUUUGCCUCAAGAUCACUUUCUGAGAGCUACAUUACGUUUAUUCCUUGCCACAAUUCUAAGAAGAUCGUCUCCCCACUUUACAGAUGAAAAGACUUAGGCUAAAUGAGGCUAAACCACAUUUCCUUAAGGUCACAUACAGAGUGGUAGAGCUGGGACAGAAAACAAGGUUUUUCUGGGGCCAAAGUGUAAGCUGGUGGCAUUAUACUAACCUCCUCUCUUAAAAAAAGAGAGGGAGCUAUAGAUUAUAAGCUUUGGAAAGAAACAUCGAAAACUUUUCAUUUUCCUAGAAUCCAAAGCCAGAAAGUUCAAGUUACCAGAAUGCCUUUGUGAGGGCCAGAUAACAAGUGAAAAACUACAUCAGGGAUCUAUUAAAAAUAAAAGUCCAGUGAGUUUAGGAGUCCAGUUGAAUUUAGUCCCAUGAAUGUAGUAGUUUGGCCACAUAUUUAAUCAAUUGGCUGUUUAUUUGCUGUCUAAUAGGCUGGUGGUUGAUGAUUUGAGACAUAGCAGCAUCCUGUAUCAUUGCAGAAAGGUUGAAUAUGCAAAAGGAAUUUUUAGUAUUAAAUAUUUAUUUAUUUAUGCAUGUAUUUAUUUAUAUUUAUUUGUUUAUAUGAAUGAGAGAGAGAGACAGAGACAGACAGAGAGAGGGAGAGCAGGGAGAGGGACAGAGGUGAGGGAGAGAGAAUCCCAAACAGACUCCCCAUGAGGGAUGAUCUCAUUACUCAGAGAUCAGGACCUGAGCCAAGAAGCAGAUGCUCAACUGAUGGAGCCACCUAGGGGCCCCAGUAUUAAGUGUAUUUCAAGUGCUAAAAAAUGUCAUAUCCAGAUAUUACUGUUACACAGAAGAUAUCCCCCAUAGCUCAGCUAACUCAGAAGCAGAAGCUCGCCAGUUCAUUUUUCUUUUUUUUUUUUAAUUUUUAAAUUUAUUUAUGAUAGGCACACAGUGAGAGAGAGAGGGGCAGAGACACAGGCAGAGGGAGAAGCAGGCUCCAUGCACCGGGAGCCCGACGUGGGAUUCGAUCCCGGGUCUCCAGGAUUGCGCCCUGGGCCAAAGGCAGGCGCCAAACCGCUGUGCCACCCAGGGAUCCCCUUAUUUUUCACUCAUUCUUUCUUCAUUUAUUCAUCCACAUAUUCAUAUCAUGUCUACAGAGAGCCUACUGUAGUCACCACCCUGGAGGAAAUGUGAAAGUGAUGACUCAAUUCACAACUCACAGGUGCUGGGAUGAACAGUUAUUUCUUUGUCUCCGAUUUAUAUCAGGUCAAUGAUAUCUUCUAUUUAAAAUGUCUGGAGGGGACGCCUGGGUGGCUCAGCGGGUGAGUGUCUGCCUUUGGCUCAGGUCAUGAUCCCAGGAUCCUGGGAUCGAGUCCAGCAUCAGGCUCUCCACAAGGAGCCUGCUUCUCCCUCUGCCUAUGUCUCUGCCUCUCUCUCUCUGUUUCUCAUGAAUAAAUAAAAUCUUAAAAAAAAAUAGAAUGGCUGGAAAUGGACAGUUCACUAACAAUGUCUUCAGAAAAGUACU